rnacentral:rRNA from 1 species
AUUGAACGCUGGCGGCAGGCCUAACACAUGCAAGUCGGGCGAGUGGCGGACGGGUGAGUAAUGUAUGGGGACCUGCCCGAUGGCGGGGGAUAACUACUGGAAACGGUAGCUAAUACCGCAUACUAUCGGAUGAACCCAUAUGGGAUUAGCUUGUAGGUGGGGUAACGGCUCACCAAGGCGACGAUCCCUAGCUGGUCUGAGAGGAUGAUCAGCCACACUGGGACUGAGACACGGCCCAGACUCCUACGGGAGGCAGCAGUGGGGAAUAUUGCACAAUGGGCGCAAGCCUGAUGCAGCCAUGCCGCGUGUAUGAUGAAGGCCUUCGGGUUGUAAAGUACUUUCGGUCGGGAGGCGUUACCUACAGAAGAAGCACCGGCUAACUCCGUGCCAGCAGCCGCGGUAAUUC